rnacentral:rRNA from 1 species
GUCGUCAGCUCGUGUCGUGAGAUGUUGGGUUAAGUCCCGCAACGAGCGCAACCCUUGUCACUAGUUGCCAUCAUUUAGUUGGGCACUCUAGUGGAGACUCGGCCGGGUGAACAAACCGGGAGGAAGGUGGGGAUGACGUCAAAUCAUCAUGCCCCUUAUGACCUGGGCUACACACGUGCUACAAUGGGCGGUACAAAGGGCUGCGAACCCGCGAGGGGGAGCGAAUCCCAAAAAGCCGCUCUCAGUUCGGAUUGCAGGCUGCAACUCGCCUGCAUGAAGCCGGAAUCGCUAGUAACCGCAGGUCAGCUAUACUGCGAUGAAUACGUUCCCGGGGCUU